rnacentral:rRNA from 1 species
GAUGAACGCUGGCGGCGUGCUUAACACAUGCAAGUCGAGCGAGAAGUUUUGAAAAGAUUCUUCGGAUGAAAUUUAAAAUGGAAAGCGGCGGACGGGUGAGUAACGCGUAGGCAACCUGCCCCAUACAAAGGGAUAGCAUUUGGAAACGAAUAUUAAUACCUUAUGAAACUUAACUAGUGCAUGCUAGGUAGGUCAAAGAUUUAUCGGUAUGGGGUGGGCCUGCGUCUGAUUAGCUAGUUGGUGAGGUAACGGCUCACCAAGGCGACGAUCAGUAGCCGACCUGAGAGGGUGAACGGCCACAUUGGAACUGAGACACGGUCCAAACUCCUACGGGAGGCAGCAGUGGGGAAGAUUGCACAAUGGGGGAAACCCUGAUGCAGCAACGCCGCGUGAACGAUGAAGGCCUUUGGGUCGUAAAGUUCUGUUCUAGGUGAUGAAAACUGACAGUAACCUAGGAGAAAGCCCCGGCUAACUCCGUG